rnacentral:tRNA from 1 species
UGGUCCCAUAGCUCAGUUGGUUAGAGCAUCUGACUCAUAAUCAGAGGGUCCUUGGUUCGAGCCCAAGUGGGACCACCC